AUGCUUUACACAUGCAAGUCGAACGGCAGCACGGACUUCGGUCUGGUGGCGAAAGUGGCGAACGGGUGAGUAAUGUAUCGAAACGCCUAGUAGCGGGGAUAACUACGCGAAAGCGUAGCCAUUACUGCACACACUCUUCGGGGGAAAGCGGGGACCUUCGGGCCUGCAAUUAGAGCGGCCGACAUCGGAUUAGCUAGUUGGUGGGGUAACGCUCACCAAGGCGACGAUCCGGUAGCUGGCUGAGAGACGAUCAGCCACAUCGACCGAGCAGACAUGGCCCAGACUCUACGGGAGGUGCAGUGGGAAUUUUUGGACAAUGGGGGAAACCCCUGAUCCAGCCAUCCGGGCGGGCGAUGAAGGCCUUCGGGUUAAAGCACUUUUGCGAGGGAAAGAACGGCACGGGAUAAUACCCCGUGCAACCACUUGCACCUGCAGAAUAAGCACCGGCUAGCCCACGUGCCAGCAGCCGCGGUAAAUACGUAGGCAGCGUUAAUCGGAAUUACUGGGCGUAAAGCGUGCGCAGGCGGUUCGGAAAGAAAGUGAUGAAAUCCCAGAGCUUAACUUUGAACUCGCAUUUUUAACUGAUUUGUUGAGUGUGUCAGAGGGAGGUGGAAUUCCAUGUGUAGCAGUGAAAUGCGUAGAUAUGCGGAGGAACACCGAUGGCGCUAGCUCUCCUGGGAUAACACUGACGCUCAUGCACGAAAGCGUGGGGACAAAACAUUAUUACCCUGUAGUCCACGCCCUAAACGAUGUCAACUUAGCUGUUGGGGCCUUCGGGCUCUUGGUAGCGCAGCUAACGCGUGAAGUUGACCGCCUGGGGAGUACGGUCGCAGAUUGGGAAAACUCAAAGGAAUUGACGGGGACUCCGCACGCGGUGGAUGAUGACUAAUUCGAUGUCUGCGAAAAACCUUAAUUACCCUUGACAUGCUCAAUCCUGAAGAGAUUUGGGAGUGCUCGCAAGAGAACCGGAACACAGGUGCUGCAUGGCUGUCGUCAGCUCGUGUCGUGAGAUGUUGGGUUAAGUCCUGCAACGAGCGCAACCCUUGUCAUUAGUUGCCAAGGAAAGGGCACUCUAAUGAGACUGCCGGUGACAAAACCGGAGGGGAAGGUGGGGAUGACGUCAAGUCCUCAUGGCCCUUUAUGGGUAGGGCUUCACACGUCAUAAAUGGUCGGGACAGAGGGUCGCCAACCCGCGAGGGGGGAGCCACAAUCCCAGAAACCCGACUGCAGUCCGGAUCGCAGUCUGCAACUCGACUGCGUGAAGUCGGAAUUUGCUAGUAAUCGCGGAUCAGCAUGUCGCGUGAAUACGUUCCCGGGGUCUUGUACACACCGCCACGACAGCAACAAGCACCAUGGGAGUGGGCUUUACCAGAAGUAGUUAGCCUGAAUCAAGGAGGGCGAUUACCACGGUAGGAUUCAUGACUGGGGUGAAGUCGUAACAAGGUAG
rnacentral:rRNA from 1 species